rnacentral:rRNA from 1 species
ACGGACAGCCAUGCCACCCUGAACAAGCCCCAUGUCUGAUCUCAGAAGCUAAGCACGGUCAGGCCUGGUUAGUACUUGGAUGGGAGACCACCUAGGAAGAGCAGGUGCUAUAGGUA